AUUGAACGCUGGCGGCGUGCUUAACACAUGCAAGUCGAUCGGUAACAGGUGUAGCAAUACAUGCUGACGAGAGGCGGACGGGUGAGGAAUAUUUGGGAAUCUGCCCAUCAGCGGGGGACAACCCGGGGAAACCCGGGCUAAUACCGCAUACGCUCUACGGAGGAAAGCCGGGGACCGCAAGGCCUGGCACUGAUGGAUGGGCCCAAAUCGGAUUAGCUAGGUGGCGGGGUAACGGCCCACCAAGGCGACGAUCCGUAGCUGGUCUGAGAGGACGAUCAGCCACACCGGAACUGAGACACGGUCCGGACUCCUACGGGAGGCAGCAGUGGGGAAUAUUGGACAAUGGGGGAAACCCUGAUCCAGCGACGCCGCGUGGGUGAAGAAGGCCUGCGGGUUGUAAAGCCCUUUCGGUAGGGACGAAAGCUCUUGCUCUAAUAAUGCAAGAGGUUGACUUAACCUACAUAAGAAGCACCGGCUAACUCUGUGCCAGCAGCCGCGGUAA
rnacentral:rRNA from 1 species